rnacentral:rRNA from 1 species
GACGAACGCUGGCGGCGUGCCUAAUACAUGCAAGUCGAGCGAAUCAAAGGGAGCUUGCUCCCUGAGGUUAGCGGCGGACGGGUGAGUAACACGUGGGCAACCUGCCUGUAAGACUGGGAUAACUUCGGGAAACCGGAGCUAAUACCGGAUAAUUCCUUUCCUCCCAUGAGGAAAGGCUGAAAGACGGUUUACGCUGUCACUUACAGAUGGGCCCGCGGCGCAUUAGCUAGUUGGUGAGGUAACGGCUCACCAAGGCAACGAUGCGUAGCCGACCUGAGAGGGUGAUCGGCCACACUGGGACUGAGACACGGCCCAGACUCCUACGGGAGGCAGCAGUAGGGAAUCUUCCGCAAUGGACGAAAGUCUGACGGAGCAACGCCGCGUGAGUGAUGAAGGUUUUCGGAUCGUAAAACUCUGUUGUUAGGGAAGAACAAGUAUGAGAGUAACUGCUCGUACCUUGACGGUACCUAACCAGAAAGCCACGGCUAACUACGUGCCAGCAGCCGCAGUAAAAC